UCUGAGAAGGAGGGCCGCGGAGAUGGGUACUGAGACACGGACCCAGGCCCUAUGGGGCGCAGCAGGCGAGAAACCUUGGCAAUGUGCGAAAGCACGACAAGGUUAAUCCGAGUGUCUCCUGCUAAAGGAGUCUUUUGUCAGUUGUAGAAUCACUGGUGAAUAAGGGGUGGGCAAGUUCUGGUGUCAGCCGCCGCGGUAAAACCAGCACCUCGAGUGGUCAGGAGGUUUAUUGGGCCUAAAGCAUCCGUAGCCGGUUGCAUAAGUUUUCGGUUAAAUCUAUGCGCUUAACGUAUAGGCCGCCGAAAAUACUGUGCAGCUAGGGAGUGGGAGAGGUACACGGUACUCGAUAGGAAGGGGUAAAAUCCUUUGAUCUAUUGAAGACCACCUGUGGCGAAGGCGGUGUACCAGAACACGUUCGACGGUGAGGGAUGAAAGCUGGGGGAGCAAACCGGAUUAGAUACCCGGGUAGUCCCAGCUGUAAACGAUGCAGACUCGGUGAUGCAUUGGCUUGUGGCCAAUGCAGUGCCGCAGGGAAGCCGUUAAGUCUGCCGCCUGGGAAGUACGUACGCAAGUAUGAAACUAAAGGAAUUGGCGGGGGAGCACCACAAGGGGUGAAGCUGCGGUUCAAUUGGAGUCAACGCCA
rnacentral:rRNA from 1 species